CAAUAGCGUAUAUUAAAGUUGUUGCAGUUAAAAAGCUCGUAGUUGGAUUUCUGGUGGGAGCGAUCGGUCUGGCGCUUAGCGCGAGUACUUGCAUCGGCUCCGGCCAUCCUUGGGGAAAGUCUGUCUGGCAUUAAGUUGUCGGGCAGAGGAUCCUCAUCGUUUACUGUGAAAAAAUUAGAGUGUUCAAAGCAGGCUUAUGCCGUUGAAUAUAUUAGCAUGGAAUAAUAAGAUAGGACUUUGGUACUAUUUUGUUGGUUUGCGCACCAAAGUAAUGAUUAAUAGGGACAGUUGGGGGUAUUCGUAUUCCGUUGUCAGAGGUGAAAUUCUUGGAUUUACGGAAGACGAACUACUGCGAAAGCAUUUACCAAGGAUGUUUUCAUUAA
rnacentral:rRNA from 1 species